GAAGUCGUAACAAGGUAACCGUAGGGGAACUGCGGUUGGAUCACCUCCUU
rnacentral:rRNA from 1 species